rnacentral:rRNA from 1 species
GACGAACGCUGGCGGCGUGCUUAACACAUGCAAGUCGAACGAGUGGCGAACGGGUGAGUAACGCGUAGGUAACUACCUAUUAGAGGGGGAUAACUAUUGGAAACGAUAGCUAAUACCGCAUACUAGUAGAUGGACCUGCGUUGUAUUAGCUAGUAGGUAGGGUAAUGGCCUACCUAGGCAACGAUACAUAGCCGACCUGAGAGGUGGAGCGUCCACACUUGGACUGAGUCACGGCCCAGACUCCUACGGGAGGCAGCAGUAGUGAAUCUUCGGCAAUGGGGGGAACCCUGACCAAGCAACGCCGCGUGAGUGAAGAAGGUUUUCGGAUCGUAAAGCUCUGUUGUUGAGGAAGCGGUACUUAACCAGAAAGGGACGGCUAACUACGUGCCAGCAGCCGCGGUAAUUC